rnacentral:lncRNA from 1 species
GACAGCGGCAGCGCGCGCGCGCGCGUGUGCAUUAAAGAGACAGGGGUUUAUUUCCAACAGGUCUUCCCUAAUUUCCAGGGAAGGUCUGCUGAGGGAACCCAGGGGUUCCGGGGUCCCGGGUGUGUGCGGUGGCUGCUGUCGUCUGGGCAGCGCUGCGGUGUCCCGAGGGCCUUACCAUCGUGGUCUCACCGCAGCUCCUGCUAGCCAGUGCUUUCGCAGUUGCCCUGGAGUGGGAGGGGGUGUGUCUCUCCCCGGAUUCAGGCUCCAGGACCUCCUGCAGCGCGGCAAGCAGGUUCCCAGAGACCCGAGCUCUUGGGGCUACCCGUGCUUUGUCCUCGGGCCGCAGAGGUGGACGCUUGGGCGCCUCGAGCCCCGGCCCCGAGUGCUCCCCUCUGAGGACUGAAACACACCCGGAAUCUGGCUUCACGGUCUAUGUAUUCCGAUCUUUCUGUUUCUGUAAGCCUCGGGAGCUGGGGAUUCAGGGCUUCUGUGGCAUUCAGCUCCCGACUGUUUGUAGGGUCACUCAGAUCCCGGGUCCCUGACUUGGUCUUGGGGGCUCGCUCCCGGCCCUGGAGCCUAGGCCUGCGCCGUCAGCCUCGCCCCAACCGCCUCUCUCCAGGCGGCGUCGGUUUCCCCGGGCCCUGGCACUAGCUUUCCGGACACGCGACCCUCCAAACUUGGGCUGGAUUUCUCUCGCCAGCGCGC